CCUACGGGUGGCAGCAGUGGGGAAUAUUGGGCAAUGGGCGCAAGCCUGACCCAGCAACGCCGCGUGAAGGAAGAAGGCUUUCGGGUUGUAAACUUCUUUUCUGAGGGACGAAGAAAGUGACGGUACCUCAGGAAUAAGCCACGGCUAACUACGUGCCAGCAGCCGCGGUAAUACGUAGGUGGCAAGCGUUAUCCGGAAAUGGGUGGAACGGCCGUGAUGCCGGGAAAGCAAGAACGAUGUGAAACCACAGGGCUCAACCCUGCGCCUGCAUUUGAAAAUGUUUUUCUGGAGUGCUGGAGGGGCAAUCGGAAUUCCGUGUGUAGCGGUGAAAUGCGUAGAUAUACGGAGGAACACCAGUGGCGAAGGCGGAUUGCUGGACAGUAACUGACGCUGAGGCGCGAAAGCGUGGGGAGCAAACAGGAUUAGAUACCCCAGUAGUC
rnacentral:rRNA from 1 species